CGGCAGAGGCAUGUAGUCUAGACAUACCCUAAAAGAAUUUUUCCAUUGGCAUACCAGUGCCUACACCAGAGGUUGAGUCUUCUUGACUAUGGCACUCAGUGGCUUAGAGAGUCUGAGUGAAGACUAAGAAUAUUCAUUAUAAGGUGUUUCUGAAAUCCACCUUUGUAAACACUUCGUUUCUUUUUUUCUUCUUCAUCUAUUGGGUGAAGAUAUUUUCCAGCAACACAGACAGACAAUAGUAUUACUCUCUCCAGCCCACCAGAAUAGUUGACCUAUAUUACAAAAAUGCACCAAUCAGCAGAGAAAAACCAUGUUUGAAAGAUUUACAGAAUACAUUGAUGUUCUUUUCCUGAGUCACAGAAAAGAAAAGCACAUGUAGAUUAUUAACAAAUGGAUGUCAACAAUACAGUCCUUUUCAAAGUCUGAAAGAUAACGUAAUAAUCCUUUGCAACUGUUCCUUGUCAUUCUACCAUUCAGGAAGGAGCCAGCUUUGCUUUUAUUUGUAUUUGUGCAGUGGGAAAGCCAGCUGACUUUUGCUAGUUGGAAGCAGACCUUUCCUGUUUCUUAACUCCUAAGAUUAAAAAUCCUGAGAUAAGAUUUGUUUUCAGAAAAUAUUUUCUUUGGGUUUAGCUCAGAAUCAUUGCAAUGGGGGGGAGGGUUGAAUCCUUUUCGAAAAGAGGCCUCAUCUCAGUUUAAGCAAGAGGAUAAAGUAGCAUUUGUUUAACAAGAACUGGCUUAACAUUGUUCCAUGUUAGUUUAUUCUGUGUCUUUAUAAUAGAGUGAUUUUCCUUGAAAAGUAUGCUGGAAAGCAGCCUACAGUGUCCAACCUCCCAGAGACUACCUCGUGCUCCCUUAGGGGAAGAAUGAAGUGAACAAUUUAGUUAAAUUAAAUGAUUCCUGAACAACAGAAGUUGGGACUUGAUCCAAUACCCAAUUAUGUCAAAAGGAGUCUGCCCAAUGACUUAAAUAGGAGUUGGACCAAAUUCAUAGACCAUCACCUGUUGCUUACAGUUAUAUCUGGAGUAACUCUAUUGAAGGAAGUUUGCACCCACAUAAGUGAGAAGAUGCUCACCCGCACUGAGAUGGAAGGUAAGAGAGCAAAGAUAUCCUAGCAAAGAGGAAAGGCCUGAAAGAAGGUGCUAUAAACAAGACAAAUCAGUCUCACGUUUAUAGUUCUGGGUUCUUGAGAAAAGAGUAUUUAGUGAUUUCACUGAGGUGCCGCUUGAGAAUCUUAUUUGUGAUCCUAAGCUGUUUUUGGCUUUGGUCCCAGUUGUAACUGGUAAAUGACUCUUGGAGACUGAAGAAACAUGGAAGGAGUGGGAAAGUUUAAUCGGUAUGGAAAGAUUAGCAUGGAAAUAUAGAACAUGAAUGGAAAGAAAAAGGCCCCAAAUAUGAAAGACUUAUACAGUAUAUGAAGUAAAGUUAGUAAAUCACAAAUUGAGGGAGGGAAAAUGCAGAGGGUAGAAAUCUCUCUUAGCUGCAACCAGUAUGUCAUAUAACAUGGCCUCUAAUGCACACUCACUGGUGUCUGUAAAAUAAAUUGUUUGUCAAAAAACAAUGAAUACAUUUAUAUUUCCUGUUUCUGCAUUGUAGGCUUCUUAAAUGGAUAAUAAAUAUUUAUAAUAAGACAACUGUAGAAGUGUGGAUUUCAGAUAUGCUCUUCAAUCAAAUCUCAAGGGCAAGCUGCUUAAAGAAGCAAUCACUUAUGGAGUCUGGAAAUUUAUCUCUGCAUCUCUUCCUGAGCUGUUCAUUUCAGCUUUAAUCUGUGUUGCCUUCCUCAAAUCUUUGGAAUCUCCUGGAGAGACAAAGUCACCAACAGAAGUAGACCAACAUACCCAGCAUGCAAACAUUCCUCAAACAGUAACAUCUCUGCUGGCUUGGGCAUAUGUGCUGAAUAAAUGAUGGGGCAUCCAAAAGGACAUCUUCUAUCGCAAACUGGCAUCUGAAAAAAAACCCAAAGGUCACCCAAAGUUGCCUUUCAAAGGAUGUGUGCAAGCGAGAGCUCAAAUAAAUGGACAUGGAUUUAGACAAAAGGGAAGGUCACACUUAAGACUGCAGCCUUUAGAAACAAGAGCUUAAGAAAAGUCUCUGGAGUUACGAGAGGCACUAGUCCAGCUUAGCAGAGCAGAAAAGAGCUCACAAAAGGCAGAUUCCAAAGGAUAAAAAUAUAACCUUUAAAUGUGACAGACGUGGCAGAGAUUGUCUCUUUUGAGUGGAUCUCUUCAGCCACAGCCAAAGUUGCCAUAAAACCAAGUAACUUGUUUACCUCUCAGGGGCAUAAACCCAUGGUCUCUCAAGACUGACGGAUGUCUACUACUACUACUAUACAAUCCAAAAGAUCUAGUCUUCAUUUCCUAGGCACUCAUGCCUUCCAUGUGUAUCACUGAGUUCAUCCUCUCCUACAAGGGGACUAGGUCCUGAAACAUAUUAAUGGUGCAAUUUUUUCUACUUCACUAGGAUUAACUGCACUACGUAGAAGGUUAUCUCAGUGUGCUUUUAUUAUUUUCACUUGUAAAUAGUGUGGGAUAACUUGACAUCAUACUUAAAAAUUAUGUUGAUGGUUAGUAUGGUGGUGGGGAUUUGAGGCUUUGAACACAUGUAUAACAAUAAGAUGAUCUCUGUUCCAAAGAGCUAACAUUCUAACAGAUAUAGCUGUCAGUUGUGUGUUAAUGAUAUUGCUGGUUCCAUUCCCCCUUUUCCAAACUUCAUUUAAUAUUUAAACAUCACAGAGAGGCUUCAAGUGAGAUCAGAGUCCCAUUGGGUCAGGUCACUUGGAACAUGGGCUUGAAAGAGUUUGCAGAAGCAAAACCAAAGCACAGUGAAUUCAGUGACUCACUGAAAGUGACACAAGCAGUCUGUGCCAGAGUCAGGAAUAGAAGUGAGGUCUUGUGAGGCUCAGUCUAGUGCCUGCACCACAAGCGCAUCCCUCCUUUCAUUUCCCAUUGAAGUGGUGUCGCAGGGUGGCUGGGCUCUUUAAGGAGAUAUGAGCCCCAUUCCAUCUGUGACAAAUAGGUAGUAAUGAGCAAUUUCAGGAGACAGAUGAGUUCUGUGGCCAAAAUCAGGUCUCUGGCAGCAGCUAACAGAGACCUGAGAAGCCCAAGAGUAGACCUAGCACCAGGAACACCCGGGGGCCAAUAUUCCUGCAAAGGAGCAGAGAACUGGUGGGGGAGCCCAAGAGAGAUGAGAGGUUCAAUCCUGCAAUGGAUGCAAGAAUAUUCACUAGUGUUUGUAGUUUUGCAUUCUACUGAGGGGUUCCUAAGAGAAGCUCUGGGACCAGCUACUUUGCAAAUAAGAGUGUGAUUAAAGGAGAGUUGAGGAGGAGCCCAAAGAAGACUUUUAAAAAGUUCUUUUUAAUUUAAGACUUUGCUGCUGACUCAGGUAGAGAUGCAGGAGGGAAUUUUGAAGAGACUGCUGGGGAAAGAAAGCCUACUGCUGAAGAGUUGCAGCUGGGCUUGGAUACCCAAAACAGAUGGAACUCUGAGACUGACCCAGCCCUGGCGCUGAGCAAUGUGAAUCCCCCAGAGAGAUGGAAAAUUCUAGUGAGGGGAAACUGAGGAGAGAGAACCACCCCAGGCCAGAAGGAGGCACUCAAGAGGUGGUUGGCUGGCCACAAGUAGGAAACAUUCACAUGAAGUUGGGCAGGUUUCCCCUCUGCAUUCUGCCUUAUGAAUCUAUCACGUACAGCGCAUACAAAACUUCUGUGCUAGAGAAUAUUUUGGACCCACACAUAAUCUUCUCUAGCGAUCCCACAUCAGGUAAGAGCUUAUGAGUGGGGAGGAGAUAAUUUGCUCCUUUGAACACAUUUCAGAUGGUAACAUCAGGUUCAGCAAUGUCUCAUAAGAAAUUGGGUUUAGUUUUGUUUGUCUUUGAAAGCUUAAAUUGUUAUACCAGCAUUUUUUAAUACAUUAUCGAGUUUAUAAGUUGACUUUCUGAUAUUGACCUUAGCUGAGAAACUAGGCAUUUCAAGGAGCCUUGUGCUUUGCAACUGCUUCAAAAACCCUUUCUGUGUAUUGAGUCCAGUUUCCUCAGGACUGGCAUCCUCAAAACCCUUUCCUGGAUUCUCAUCAUUACUGGCUUUAGCCAGUCUAUUUGUUGGCAGUUUCAGAAGAGAGUACAUAUGAUCCGGAGGGAGCCCCUUGUUAAAAUUUGACCACCCGUAUUGAAUGAAUACUGAAGGUUGGGAUGAUUCCCUUUCAGAUUUCCUAGUUCCCCUCUGCAAGUGCUUGGAUCCUAUGUACACUGGGCUUACCCCCAGGCAAUGGGCAGUAAUUGCAGAGAAGCCUUUUGUUAAAAUAUAAGUAGAACAUCAAUUAUACUGUGUUCAAGAAUGGAGUGACAUGUAGCCCCACAGAUGUGGCCCCUGCAGGGAAAG